AUUGAACGCUGGCGGCAUGCUUUACACAUGCAAGUCGAACGGUAACAGGCCGCAAGGUGCUGACGAGUGGCGAACGGGUGAGUAAUGCAUCGGAACGUGCCCAGUCGUGGGGGAUAACGCAGCGAAAGCUGUGCUAAUACCGCAUACGAUCUAUGGAUGAAAGCGGGGGACCGUAAGGCCUCGCGCGAUUGGAGCGGCCGAUGUCAGAUUAGCUAGUUGGUGGGGUAAAGGCUCACCAAGGCGACGAUCUGUAGCUGGUCUGAGAGGACGACCAGCCAAACUGGAACUGAGACACGGUCCAGACCCCUACGGGAGGCAGCAGUGGGGAAUUUUGGACAAUGGGCGCAAGCCUGAUCCAGCAAUGCCGCGUGCAGGAAGAAGGCCUUCGGGUUGUAAACUGCUUUUGUACGGAACGAAACGGUCUGGGUUAAUACCCUGGGCUAAUGACGGUACCGUAAGAAUAAGCACCGGCUAACUACGUGCCAGCAGCCGCCGUAACAC
rnacentral:rRNA from 1 species